UGUGAGCAGAGAAGAAGCUGCAGGUGUGUCUGCGGCCGCAGGGGGGCGCCAGCUCCACGUCAGAGAGGUGACGCUCCGGAAAUGAUACGUCAUAAAUGUUUGCGUUCACGGUCCGGUCCGGUCCGGUGUGGGGUGUGUGGUGAUAAUUAACAUUACUGUACCUCGGCAUCUCUCUUAAUUAAUGACUCCUUUAAUGAAACCUCUGGAAAGCACGCUAAGUGGCACACCCACGGUGUUAGUGACCUGUAGGCUACAGUAGUUAGCCUCGCUGUGUCUGGAUAACAUGCUCGUAGCGGAUCGGAUACUACAGCGGUGACUUUCUGCGUCCACUGAGGAACUUGUAGCGGGACCACAGCUGGUUAUACUGGGUCGGAGAGGUCCAGUGGACUGUUUACAUGUAUUCUUAGAGAUUGAACGAGAAGAGGAGCAGACUGUGGAGGACCACACGAUGCUACAGACUUACAAACACCACGAGGGCGGCCAGGCAGGCGAAGGCGGAGGCGUCCAGGUUUAGGCUCUGGAGGUGGGUGGAGAAGUCCCGGAUGGAGUCCAGCCACUCUCCGAACCCACGAAGGCACUGGAACCUGUGCAGCACCAAACCGUUGCAGAACACUAGUUUAUCCUCCGACAGCAUCGACCUGAGACACAGAGAGAAAAAGGAAGACGAAGAGGCCCCUAUGAGUCCGCCGUUCAGCGUGAGUCAGAGUCCCCCUCCUGCUGGGACUGUGAUGCCACCACCCAUCCUCUACCCACCCUGCACCUGGGCCUCCACUGGGAGGAGGAGAGAAACUUGGGACUCUACAUCAUCGACGCAGCGCAGACAAAGGGAUGAGCUUGUAGCCCAGCCCCCGUCCUCCCCAUAAAUUUAACCAGCCGCAUGCCUCACGAGAACAGACCGGUAACCCGGGGCAAUUCUGAGGCAAAGAUGGGCGAGGGCAGUCAUAAUGGCACCACAGGCUGCAUCCCUUCUGUCUUACCUGUGAGCCAAUCGCAGGACAAACAGCUCCAGGAAGGCCGAGUCUAUGAGCAGGUUCUGAUCGUCACGCUGAAGCUCGGAGAAGCCAGGCAGCCGGUCGGCCCAGCAUCGCGUGGUGUCCAUCGAGAUGGAGCUCUCCGACCUUCCCUCAGUCCAUACACAGGAGGCCAGCAGCCAGCAGAUGGCAGUGGAGCUGUUCUAUGGGCCGCACACACAGAGAGAGGACAAGUUGCUGCUCUAUGGAUGUGUGUGAUGCUGCCACAGGCCAGGUCAUUACCGGCCUAUUAAAGCCUGAUUGCAGAGACAAACUUCAUCAUCAUGGAGUGGAGGUCAGAUUUGUGAUGCACUAUACUGGUUUGUGUGUGUGUGUGUGUGUGGGGGGGGGAGGGGGGUGUGAGUAUCAGGUGUGUGUGUGUGUGUGGUCUCU